UUUCUUGCUGUCAAAGUCUGAUAGUGCAAAAUGAAAAUGUGUGAGCAGAAUCUAAAGCGGAAUUUAUGUAAAAGGAAAGAAUAAAGGACGUGGACUAUUUUGUUUAUUGCAGAGCAUCGAGUUACUGUGGAUUGUGGAGAAACCUCACUAUGGGAGAUCCUACGCAAAAUGUUACCAAUUGGAUUAUAGGAUUACGUGGGGCGACGAUACCCAAAAUCAUUCAAGCGGCGAGGAGAAAGUUGCUCGUAGUAUGGAAUAGUUGUUGGAGACAACCCCUCUCGCUCUACUUGGAAUUACCAAAACGUUAAUUCUGGUGGCUCCGAUUCAAUUCACUUAUAAAUUUGCAUAAAUUAUGGAAAGUUUAUGAGGGAAAAUCAAUAAAUUCAGUAUAAUGCAGCAAAACAAA